rnacentral:sRNA from 1 species
AGGUCACAAGACAGAAAUUACGAUGUGCUUGCACGAGAGUAAUUUUCUGUCUUGAUGACCUGCCCCGAUAUGAGCAUAGAAGAGAGGCGUAAGCCUUUCGAUAUGCGAAUGGCGGGUAGGAUUGCGGGAGCGCAAAGCGCGGAGCAAUCCGUGUG